rnacentral:rRNA from 1 species
GGUUCGAUUAUGGCUCCAGAUUGAACGUGGGGGAUUAGGCGCUACACAUACAAGUCGAACUGGCAGCACGGACUUCGGUCUGGUGGCGAGUGGCGAACAGGUGAUAAUGUAUCGGAACGAUGCCUAGUAGCGGGGGAUAACUACGCGAAAGCGUAGCUAAUACUAUGCAUCGGGGGAAAGCGGGGGACCUUCGGGCCUCGCACUAUUAGAGCGGCCGAUAUCGGAUUAGCUAGUUGGUGGAGUAACGGCUCACCAAGGCGACGAUCCGUAGCUGGUUUGAGAGGACGACCAGCCACACUGGGACUGAGACUUUGGCCCAGACUCCUACAGGAGGCGGCAGUGGGGAAUUUUGGACAAUGAGGAAACCCUGAUCCAGCCAUCCGCGUGUGCGAUGAAGGCCUUCGGGUUGUAAACGCUUUUGGCGGGGAAAGAAACGGCGGGAUAUUACCCCGUGCAACUGACGGUACAGAAUAAGCACCGGCUAACUACGUGCCCAGCAGCCGCGGUAAUACGUAGGGUGCAAGCGUUAAUCGGAUAUACUGGGCAUAAAGCGUGCGCAGGCGGUUCCGAAAAUCUAUGAAAUCCCAGAGCUUAACUUUGGAACUGCAUUUUUAACUGCCAGGCUAGGGUGUGUCAGAGGAGGUGGAAUUUCCGCGUGCUUGAUGAAAUGCGUAGAUAUGCGGAGGAACACCGAUGGCGAAGAGCAGCCUCCUGGGAUAACACUGACGCUCAUGCACGAAAGCGUGGGAGCAAACAGGAUUAGAUGCCCUGGUAGUCCACGCCCUAAACGAUGUCAACUGACUGUUGGGGCCCGGGCCUUGGUGACCGCAGCUAACGCGUGAAGUUGACCGCCUGGGGAGUACGGUCGCAAGAUUAAAACUCAAAGGAAUUGGCGGGGACCCACUGGCUUGAAUGGAUGAUGUGGAUUAAUUCGAUGCAACGCGAAAAACCUUACCUACCUUGACAUGUCUGGAAUCCCGGAAGAGAUUUGGGAGUAUCGCAAGAGAACCGGACACAGGUGCUGCAUGGCUGUCGUCAGCUCGUGUCGUGAAGUGUUGGAUUCAGGCCACCUUGGGCGCAUGUGUCAUUAGUUGCUACGAAAGAGGCACUCGGCGGUUCUUUGUUGACAAACCGGAGGAAGGAUGGGGAUGACGUGAACCUCUAGUGGCCCUUAUGGGUGAACUGCAUCGUACAAUGGUCAGGACAGAGGGUCCUUGCCCGGCCUUCCACAGGAGACCAAUCAGAAACCCGAUCGUAAGUCCAGGAUGCGGAUACUACUCGACUGGUGAAGUCGGAAUCGCUGAACGUCGGAUCAGCAUGUCGCGGUGAAUACGUUUCCAGGUCUUGUGCCUGCGCCGAUCUUUCAUGGGAGUGGUUUUACCAGAUGAUUGACAUAACCGUAGGCGAUUACCACGGUAGGAUUCAUGACUGGGGUGAAGUCAGCAACAAGGUAACUCUGUUGCAUUUCUGGGUGCUCUGAAUUGUGCGUAACUAA